rnacentral:rRNA from 1 species
UACGUAGGGGGCGAGCGUUGUCCGCAGUUACUGGGCGUAAAGCGCGUGUAGGCGGGUCUUUAAGUGAGGGGUGAAAGGUUUGGGCUUAACCCAGACACUGCCUUUCAUACUGGAGACCUUGAGUGCGGGAGAGGCGAGUGGAAUGGUCGGUGUAGCGGUGAAAUGCGUAGAUAUCGAUCGGAACACCCAUGGCGAAGGCAGCUCGCUGGCCUGUAACUGACGCUGAGACGCGAAAGCGUGGGGAGCAAACAGG